rnacentral:rRNA from 1 species
CGUUCAGGGGUAAACCUGCGAAACUCGAAUGAACGAACGGGGAGAUUCAUCGUCAUCCGACGUGCGGCUGUGCCGUGUUGCGCGAUGGGCAGCCCUCCGGCGAUUUCGGUCGUCGGUGCGAGUUGUUCACGCGCGCGGUGUACGCUUCACGCGCGUCGACGGCGUGCACUUCUCCCUUAGUACUGCAUCGCGACCCACUCGAUGUCGGCCUAAGCGUCGUCCGGGAGCCCGCGGCGUCUUGUGCGCCACGGACCGUGACGAAUGCCGACCGGCUGUCGGGUGGUAGUUGACACGAAACACGCACGCGCUCGUCGCGUCCUGGCCCGACGCAAGGUCGUCGCGAUGCCGCUGUGUUGCCAUUAAUGUGCGGACAGUGUGCGUCCGGCGCCUGCCUCGAUAGCUGCCGUGUCGUCUCGGACGUGCGUGUAUCUAGUCUGCGAUGUUUUUGUUUCGGGCACUCGCAGGACCCGUCUUGAAACACGGACCAAGGAGUCUAGCAUGUGUGCAAGUCACUAGGUGUUAAACUAAACCGAAAGGCAUAACGAAAGUGAAGGCGUGCGCUUGUCGCGCGCUUGGGGAGGAUGGCGGUGUGCUCUCGUGGCCGCCGCUCGCACUCCCGAGGCGUCCCGUUCGCAAUCUGUCGAUGUGGGCGCGCUCAGAGCACACAUGCUGGGACCCGAAAGAUGGUGAACUAUGCCUGGUCAGGUCGAAGUCAGGGGAAACCCUGAUGGAGGACCGUAGCGAUUCUGACGUGCAAAUCGAUCGUCGGAACUGGGUAUAGGGGCGAAAGACUAAUCGAACCAUC